GAUGAACGCUGGCGGUAUGCUUAACACAUGCAAGUCGAACGGUCUUUUCGGAGAUAGUGGCGGACGGGUGAGUAACGCGUGAGAAUCUGGCUCUAGGUCUGGGACAACCACUGGAAACGGUGGCUAAUACCGGGUGUGCCGAAAGGUGAAAGGUUAACUGCCUGGAGAUGAGCUCGCGUCUGAUUAGCUAGUUGGUAGGGUAAAAGCUUACCAAGGCGACGAUCAGUAGCUGGUCUGAGAGGACGAUCAGCCACACUGGGACUGAGACAC
rnacentral:rRNA from 2 species